AAUAACAGAAAUUAUUAACUUGCAGAUACCAAGGGUGCUAUGAUUAAAAACUGAUAAAUACUAGUGUAAUAAUCUGUAUCUAUGUGGUUCUUGGCGUGGUCAUAGAGAAAAACAACCAAUUAUUAAGUCAUUUUAAUCAUUAAUAUUGUUAUUAAAACAAUGUGCUGGAACAACGUGGAAGUGCUCUGUGAAGUGAUAACACUCUACACACAACGUUGAUAAUCUUAACUUUACAAAAUCCUUAUGUUUCCUAGUACAACAGAGACAAUGGUCUCAUGUCACCUAAUUGUAGCUGAAGGACAAUGCACUGUGUAUCUUAUUUUCUGAAGGCAUAGAUUGAAAUUGCAUUCAGGACUUCACUCUGCAGAGAAGAUUCAAGUUAAAUAGCAUUAGUGUAAGCAAAAGAGGAAUCAUAGUAAUUGAAUGCCCAUACAACUAUGUCUGGGUCAGGAUAGAGGCAUGGGUGUGGAACACUUUAAAUUACUGCUUCUCAUGUUCUAUUUUACUUCCAGGAUCUUGAACUGCCAUUGUAACACCUUUCACCAGACUGAACUUGCAAUUGAAAAUAAAUCAAUCUUGAGGUGAUUGAAAUUACUAUUGCCUGACUUCUCUCAUUUUGCCAUUGCAAAGGAACAUGGUAUUGACACUACCAAUGGCAGCAGAAUGUUAUGUCACUAUGUACAACAACAAGACAAUCUGAAGCAAAAUGGAUACCCACAGUUGUGUCACCAGCUCUAGCCUCACAGGGCACACCUGAGCUAUGGCCCCUGCAAAAGCAUCUUCUCUCCAGCCUCAAGGCCAUACACUGUGUUCAACCUCUCAGAGCACCUCUUGGAAAUUUCAACAAAAUUAACAAAGACUUCAGGAUCUUUCUUCUUAAGUUCAUCUCUGCAUUUUUGCUCAAAGAAAGCAUAAGGAGACAUCCUGCCCUUUGGUUUCUUGGGGUCACCUGUAACCAUCUUGACUGUGUUGUUCAUUUCUCUGGGGAUUCCUGAACUUACUCUGGGCAAGACAGGUUAUGGCACUUGUCUUGGCACUCUCCAGCCUCACAUUAGUUGCCUCUACAAAAACCAUCUCUUAGCAGAUAUUGUAAUUACCUUGACUUAUUGACCUUAAUGUACUGCUUUGCAUGAAAGUUAUAGCUUUAAUUAUAACCAGUGCUUUUAGUAUCUUGUUAAAUGUAUUGCUGUCUAUGAACUUAUGAACUCAUGAGUUAUAUAUAAUACUGCUUUUUCUGAAUUUGAGUGUGACAUGAGUCUGCUCCAGACAGAUGGAUUUAUACACUUAAUGUACUUAAAAUCAUGUCAACGGUCUGAGCCUAUAAUGAUAAGGAUGGGAGUCAGAUCCCAAACAAAUGUUUCUUGAAGUGUGGUCAAAGGACAACUACAGCAGAAUCUCUUGGCAAAGGGCUUUGCAUUCAGGUCUGUGAAGGGGGAUCAUUGUUCAUGAAUUCCUGGCUUCUGCCCGCCAUGCGCUCACAUUGUUCCUGGACACUUGAGUUAAUGCAGUAUUCACAUUUUUUUUGUUGUUGUAGUUCUCUAGGCAUCAGGAUGGAAAAUCCCAAUAUUAGCAAAUACUUUUCAUUGCAACAAUGAAACGUAUUACCCCAUGGACAAAUCAGAACAAAAUUUCUCACACACUUCAUAAUUAAAUAGGAAAAAUAGAAAUUUUUUUCUUAUUAGGAGCAUAAUAUAAGUCAUAAUUCCAUGGAGAAUUUCCCAUUCUUUACUAUUAUACUUAUGAUACAAUAAUAUCUUUUAAAUUUUCUAUGCUGAGGAAAAUCUAAAAUCUAUGAUUCA
ensembl:lncRNA